AUCAUUUUCUGGUUCAUAAGCAUGAUGAUAGGGUGUUCACAAGUUUGUGUGACAUGUGCCUCCCUUAAAUCUUGUUACACACUUGGAACACUGCCCAUAUUACA